UGUAGAGUUCUUGCUCCCACAGCUGCCUCCCAGCCUGUGGGAAGUAAGACAAGUCAUUUUUCCUCAACUGUCUUUGACUUUCAAACAACAACCACUUGGAACUCAGUGUUCGUUCUUGACUUAGUUAGCUGUAACGCUGUUAUAAUCAGUUUAUGAAUAGUCGCGAGCAGGGGUGGAGCUUCACGCUGGCCAAUGGACAAAGGCUUAGAAUUGCAAAGAAUGAAGAGAUUCACGUGUCGUUCUUAGAUAUGAAUUGAAUGCCAGGAUACAAAAUGAUGACAGUCAUCUGUGACAACUAAUCACUCUGAUUGGCUGGUAGCUCGAGAAUCAGUGCAUGAAACAAAAGUUGACUCUGAGAAGAAAGCAAAUAAACAGCAAAGAAAAAAAGGCUUUAGGGACUAAAUUCAACUCAUCAAAACAUUGUGUUUUACUCUGAUUUGUUCCUCUUUAUAUUAUGAGUAUAUUGGGCAAGGUUCUGAAUGUGCGCGUAUUCAAUUUCAUGAAACUCUAACUUCGGAUGUUAUGAGCAACGAUGACUUUGCCAGGCAAAUCUCACAACCUCUGAGUUACUUGUGAAUUUACAAGUGUGU